rnacentral:rRNA from 1 species
AAAGGAAUAGACGGGGGCCCGCACAAGCAGAGGAGCAUGUGGCUUAAUUCGAUGCAACGCGAAGAACCUUACCGGGGUUUGACAUGCGGCUGCGCGCCCCGCGAAAGCGGGGCUCCUUCGAGGGGGCCGCACAGGUGCUGCAUGGCUGUCGUCAGUUCGUGCCGUGAGGUGUUUGGUUAAGUCCAGCAACGAACGCAACCCCUGUGUCCAGUUGCCAGCGCGUAGAGGCGGGGACUCUGGACAGACUGCCUGUUCACACAGGAGGAAGGUGGGGACGACGUCAAGUCAGUAUGGCCCUUACACCCCGGGCCGCACACGUGCUACAAUGGCCGGCACAGAGGGAAGCGAGGCCGCGAGGCGGAGCCAAUCCCCAAAACCGGCCCCAGUUCGGAUCGGGGUCUGCAACCCGACCCCGUGAAGCAGGAUUUGCUAGUAACGGCGCAUCAGCUACGGCGCCGUGAAUACGUUCCCGGGCCUUGUACACACCGCCCGU